AGUAAGACUUGAGUCGGUGGGCCCCUGGUCCCGCUAGGGUGGUAAAACGCCACCCCACGGCCCCCAAGUGUUCCCCAGGCCAGCUGGGGCCAUGUCGGUGCUCGCGUGCCCCGAAACAAGGGCUUCUAUCCCAAGGAGAAAUAUGAGAGUCGAGUUGCUAGACAUGAUGACCUAUCAACUUCAGGCUCACUCCUGGAUGCAGAGAUAACACAGACUUCCAGAGACGUCUUCACCACCAUUCUUGGUGGUCCCUGCCAUGCCGUGAGAAGUUGGGACUUCCACAUGGAGAGGCCACAUGGAGAGAGAACAAUGCUGGCCAGACCCCAGCCGUUUCAACCAUACCAGCCCAGACGUUGCCCAUGUAAGCGAAGGAGCCAUCCUGGACAUUCCAGGCCCAGCAGAUACUACAUGGAGGAGGACCAAAACUCCAGAUGUAUUACCCCACUCAAGCUGUCCCUGCCAUCUCCAUCCAUUCGAGCCAACCCAGCUAAGGCCACACACAGUGGGAAACAAAGACAAACCAUCUCUCCUGGGCCCUGUCCAAACUUCCCACCUACUGAAUCACGAGCAUAAUAAAAUGGU